UACGUAGGGACCGAGCGUUGUCCGGAAUCAUUGGGCGUAAAGAGCGUGUAGGCGGCCUGUUAAGUCUUGCGUGAAAUCUCGGGGCUCAACCCCGAGCGGUCGUGAGAAACUGGCAGGCUAGAGUUUGGCAGAGGGGGGUAGAAUUCCACGUGUAGCAGUGAAAUGCGUAGAUAUGUGGAGGAACACCGAUGGCGAAGGCAGCCCCCUGGGUCAAGACUGACGCUCAUGCACGAAAGCGUGGGGAGCAAACAGGAU
rnacentral:rRNA from 1 species